AUUGAACGCUGGCGGCAGGCCUAACACAUGCAAGUCGAACGGUAACAGGAAGCAGCUUGCUGCCUCGCUGACGAGUGGCGGACGGGUGAGUAAUGUCUGGGAAACUGCCUGAUGGAGGGGGAUAACUACUGGAAACGGUAGCUAAUACCGCAUAACGUCGCAAGACCAAAGAGGGGGACCUUAGGGCCUCUUGCCAUCGGAUGUGCCCAGAUGGGAUUAGCUAGUAGGUGGGGUAACGGCUCACCUAGGCGACGAUCCCUAGCUGGUCUGAGAGGAUGACCGGCCACACUGGAACUGAGACACGGUCCAGACUCCUACGGGAGGCGGCAGUGGGGAAUAUUGCACAAUGGGCGCAAGCCUGAUGCAGCCAUGCCGCGUGUAUGAAGAAGGCCUUCGGGUUGUAAAGUACUUUCAGCGGGGAGGAAGGGAGUAAAGUUAAUACCUUUGCUCAUUGACGUUAUCCGCAGAAGAAGCACCGGCUAACUCCGUG
rnacentral:rRNA from 1 species